rnacentral:tRNA from 1 species
GGAGAGAUGGAUGAACGGACCAAAGUGACGGAUUGCUAAUCCAUAGUAUUGAUCAUACGUACUGAGGGUUCCAAUCUCUCUCUCUCUC